GCCGACAACAACGCCACGCUCGCCAUCGACGGCCUGCGGCCGACGACGCCGCCACCUACUCGUGCGUCGCCUCCAACCGCGUGAGCCGCCAGGAGGCGACGUUUGUCGUCACAGUUGAGGGAAACGGCGCCGCGAGGCUGGGACGCGGAACGCCGUGGAGCGCUGGCGUCAUCCCCCUCUUCAUCCUCAGCUGUCUGCUGAUCGUUGCCUAAGUGGCAGCCCAACACCCAUCAGCACCAUCAGCACCAUCAGCAGCAUCAGCACCCUCGGAGCAGGAAUAAGAAGAAGAGGAGCGAGCGAACGAGUGGAGGAGGAGGAUGAAGAUGAGGAGGGACGAGGAAGAAGAUCCCAACAUAUUUAAAAGAAGAAGAACACGUUAUUCAAUCCACGUGCGCCACAGCCUCCUCAUCCUCCCUCCCCCUCCCUCCCUCCUCUCCUCCUCCUCCUCCUCCUCGCCCUUCACUCGGCAUCCUUCAGCUGUCGAUGUCCGUGAUUGACCGUCGUCGCUUUCUCGCCGCGCUGUUUCGUCUCCGUACGCGAUGCUGCCGCGUCGUUUUCGUCUCCCCGCUCCUUUCUUUCGCGAACGUCGCGCAAUUUUUUUUUCUGGUCUCACGCGGUCGUUUCACUUCUCCCUCACCUCGCCCUCCCUUCCUUCCUCCCUCCCCCCUCUCCCUCUCUCUCAACGAUUUGCCACAACUGUGAGCCGCGUGUUAUCAUCCCUGACACGAGCGCGUGGCUGAGCCCCGAUUGGAAUCGCGGUGGAGGCCCUGGGGCGCGGUAGCUUGAGUCGAGAGCAUACCACGCGCCACGUGUUGUGUUGUGCGUUGUGCGCGUCCGACUUCUCGCGCGCCGCACGUAGCCAACCGCGCCGAAUCACUGAAACUAAAACGCCGCUAUUGCACGGUUAACCCCGGGGUGACCCCCCCCCACACACAUUUAGGAGCCUUUGCGAACGCAAAUGUAGACGUCUAGGAAGAGCUUCGUGUAUCGGUCAGGGCGCAAGGCUGGCGCGCUGCGAUCCGGACUCGGUAGGCGACGGAGCGAGCCACCCCCCCGCGUAGCUAACAGGGGGGUAACGGCGGC